rnacentral:rRNA from 1 species
GGCGAACGCUGGCGGCGCGCCUAACACAUGCAAGUCGAACGAGCGAGAGAGAGCUUGCUUUCUCGAGCGAGUGGCGAACGGGUGAGUAACGCGUGAGGAACCUGCCUCAAAGAGGGGGACAACAGUUGGAAACGACUGCUAAUACCGCAUAAGCCCACGGGUCGGCAUCGACCAGAGGGAAAAGGAGUAAUCCGCUUUGAGAUGGCCUCGCGUCCGAUUAGCUAGUUGGUGAGGUAACGGCCCACCAAGGCAACGAUCGGUAGCCGGACUGAGAGGUUGAACGGCCACAUUGGGACUGAGACACGGCCCAGACUCCUACGGGAGGCAGCAGUGGGGAAUAUUGCACAAUGGGGGAAACCCUGAUGCAGCGACGCCGCGUGGAGGAAGAAGGUCUUCGGAUUGUAAACUCCUGUUGU